rnacentral:ncRNA from 2 species
CCGCGGCAGGGAGAUGGCAUUCCUCCUUUAACCGCCGCGAGGCUGAUGAUGCCUAUCUGACA